rnacentral:rRNA from 1 species
AUGGCGUUAGCAGCUAACACCCAUGGAAGAGUCUGCACCCUCUCCUCCAGGCCACCCACACCUUUCAGCAGGAGCACGACCACCAUGCCUGGACACAAUGUUCAGUCGUCACGAGCCCGGUUCGCCGUCCGAGCCACCGCGGAGCGCUGGCUGUCUGGGCUGGACCUACCGGCGUACCUCGACGGCACGCUGCCUGGCGAUUACGGGUUUGGUCCCUUGGGGCUCGGGGAGCAGCCUGAGGCCUUGAAGUGGUACGUCCAGGCCGAGCUCGUCCACUGCCGGUUUGCCAUGGCAGGGGUCGCCGGCAUCCUUGGAACCAAUCUGAUCAGUGUAUCAGGGAUCGGCAACCUACCAGUGUGGUUUGAAGCAGGCGCCGCGAAAUUUGACUUUGCCAACACCACAACACUCUUCUUUGUUCAGCUUCUCUUGAUGGGGUAA